rnacentral:rRNA from 1 species
AUUGAACGCUGGCGGCAGGCCUAACACAUGCAAGUCGAGCGAGCGGCGGACGGGUGAGUCAUGUCUGGGAACCUGCCUGAUGUAGGGGGAUAACUACUGGAAACGGUAGCUAAUACCGCAUACCAUCAGAUGUGCCCAGAUGGGAUGAGCUUGUAGGUGGGGUAACGGCUCACCUAGGCGACGAUCCCUAGCUGGUCUGAGAGGAUGACCAGCCACACGUGCACUGAGACCCGGUCCAGACUCCUACGGGAGGCAGCAGUGGGGAAUAUUGCACAAUGGGCGAAAGCCUGAUCCAGCCAUGCCGCGUGUGUGAAGAAGGUCUUCGGAUUGUAAAGCACUUUAAGUUGGGAGGCGUUACCAACAGAAUAAGCACCGGCUAACUUCGUGCCAGCAGCCGCGGUAAUUC